UAGUGAGUUUGAUCCUGGCUCAGGAUGAACGCUGGCGGCGUGCUUAACACAUGCAAGUCGAACGCAAGUAGAAAUACUUGAGUGGCGGACGGGUGAGUAACGCGUGAGAAUCUGCCUUCUGGUCGGGGACAACCACUGGAAACGGUGGCUAAUACCGGAUAUGCCUAUGGGUGAAAGAUUAAUUGCCAGAAGAAGAGCUCGUGUCUGAUUAGCUUGUUGGUGGGGUAAUGGCCCACCAAGGCGAUGACGGGUAGCCGGCCUGAGAGGGCGACCGGCCACACUGGGACUGAGACACGGCCCAGACUCCUACGGGGAGGCAGCAGUGGGGAAUAUUGGGGCAAUGGGGCGAGAGCCUGACCCAGCCAUGCCGCGUGCCGAG
rnacentral:rRNA from 1 species